GUAUGUGAUAUUUCGGAACAGAAUCUAGUUCCUUCGAUAUCAAUGUUAUCUAAUAAUUGUGAUUUAGAUAACAUUGAUAUCGAAGGAACUAGAUUCUGUUCCGAAAUAUCACAUACUC
rnacentral:miRNA from 1 species